CAGCUCUCCGAGUGGUAGGGAUGAUUAUUGGGCUUAAAGCGUCCGUAGCCGGCUUAGCAAGUCUCCUGUUAAAUUCAGCGACCUAAUCGUUGACCCGCGGGAGAUACUACUAGGCUAGGAGGCGGGAGAGGUCGACGGUACUUCUGGGGUAGGGGUGAAAUCCUAUAAUCCCAGGAGGACCACCAGUGGCGAAGGCUGUUGACUAGAACGCGCUCGACGGUGAGGGGCGAAAGCUGGGGGAGCGAACCGGAUUAGAGACCCGAGUAGUCC
rnacentral:rRNA from 1 species